CAGGAGAUAGUUAAAAUAGAAUUUCAACUUUGGGUGUUGAGGGUAGGAGUAUACUCUUUCUCCUGA
rnacentral:tRNA from 1 species